GAAGAACGCUGACAGAAUGCUUAACACAUGCAAGUCUACCAAGAAUCACUUCGGUGAGGAAUGGUGGCGGACGGGUGAGUAACGCGUAGAUAAUCUGCCCUUUAGACUGGGAUAUCCUUUGGAAACGAAGGUUAAUACCGGAUAUUAUGAGAUGGACGCAUGUUCAACUUAUGAAAGCUAAAUGCACUAGAGGAGGAGUUUGCGUCCCAUUAGCUAGUUGGUGAGGUAAAGGCUCACCAAGGCCACGAUGGGUAGCCGGCCUGAGAGGGUGAACGGCCAAAAGGGAACUGAGACACGGUCCUUACUCCUACGGGAGGCAGCAGUGGGGAAUAUUGGACAAAGGACCAAAAGUCUGAUCCAGCAAUUCUGUGUGCACGAUGAAGGUCUUCGGAUUGUAAAGUGCUUUCAGUAGGGAAGAAAAAAAUGACGGUACCUACAGAAGAAGCGACGGCUAAAUAUGUGCCAGCCGCCGCAGUAACAC
rnacentral:rRNA from 1 species